rfam:Schistosoma mansoni strain Puerto Rico chromosome 1, complete genome
AGCUUUUGAAUCUGUGCUGAGAUUUCGUCAGACACCAACCCAUUAUGGCUGAUCAGACAUCGAAGAUGAGUAAAGUU